rnacentral:lncRNA from 1 species
CAAUAAGUGCAAACAAACAUAGAAUUAAGAGUUUUUCCUUUCGUUUUCUCGUUAGCGUAAAUUAGGGUUUUUACGUCUUUUGGAAGUGUUAUUAUUCGGUACGGAGUGUGUAUUAAAUUUAGUGAUUAAGAGUGAAUUUUGGAUGAUAUUAAGAGUGUGAUUAGAAGUGAGAAUAAUAAAUUAGUGAACCAUAAGAUAAAACCCUAGUACACGCGAUUUAAAGAAAAUCGGCUUGAAUCGGCGG